GACUCAGACAAGUUGGUACAUAAU
rnacentral:siRNA from 1 species